AGUAACUGAUAACAAGAACUGAUCACCAAACAAGGAGAAAAUGAUAUGGAAAUGGCUUAUUUUUCUCCAGUUUAUAGAGAUGACACAUCAGUUGUCAUCUAGUUGCGUUCACGACUCUGAUUGUGGAAGAGUAAUCUGUUCUUCGGGCGACUCUCCGAUCUGUCUUCAUUCCAAAUGCGUUUGCAAACGUACAUCUAAAUACUGUACAAGAGAUGUUGAGUGUGAUUAUGGAGGAUGUGGAAGACCAUUUCAUCAUUAUUGUCAUGUAUCUCAAAAUACAUGUGAAUGUA